UUUAGCUUUGAAAGUCACAGCAGCAUAUCUGGAAGCGAGAGGAUUUCAUUUUAGGCUAUGAGGGUUUGGUUUAGAUCUAGUUAAUAUUGUGUCAGAUGAUUCUGGACUUUUCUCCCCAUCAUAUUUCCUACUGAGCCAUGCUUACUCAUGUGUUCAAUGGCACACAUUCUAGGGCCAGCUAAACAUAACCCAGAUUCCUGUACAUAACACCAUUGAACUCCUCCUUGUUGCAAAAGAAUUGCAAUUAGGUUCUUUGGUUUUCUAGUCUGCCCUCUUACCUUUUAUUUCACUUGUAUUAAGUUGAUUAUCUAUAUUUUCUCUUCCUUUUUCCUCUAGCCAAUCUUUUCCUUUGGUGCAGUACAGUAUGUAAUGUAACUUUCUCUGGAUGUAUGUAUGUUUACUUUUAGAAAUGUACAAAUGUACGUUGGGGGACAAAGAUGUAGGAGACUUAUUUUUCUCUACAUGCAUACAUUUUUCAUCAUAUGAAUGAAUUUUUCAUCAUAUGAAUGUGUUAUCUCUUCUAA